rnacentral:ncRNA from 15 species
AACGGCCCCCCACAUGUAUGCUCAUCCUCGCUGUCGUCGCAGGGGAAUCCGGUGGGAAUCCGGAACUGUCCCGCAACGGUAUGAAGUACACCCAUUGGUGUCACCGCAAGUCCGAUGACCUGCCGACAGUGCGCCCGGCUCG